GACGAACGCUGGCGGCGUGCUUAACACAUGCAAGUCGAACGGAAAGGCCCUGCUUUUGUGGGGUGCUCGAGUGGCGAACGGGUGUGUAACACGUGAGUAACCUGCCUUUGACUUUGGGAUAACUUCAGGAAACUGGGGCUAAUACCGGAUAGGAGCUCCUGCUGCAUGGUGGGGGUUGGAAAGUUUCGGCGGUUGGGGAUGGACUCGCGGCUUAUCAGCUUGUUGGUGGGGUAGUGGCUUACCAAGGCUUUGACGGGUAGCCGGCCUGAGAGGGUGACCGGCCACAUUGGGACUGAGAUACGGCCCAGACUCCUACGGGAGGCAGCAGUGGGGAAUAUUGCACAAUGGGCGGAAGCCUGAUGCAGCAACGCCGCGUGCGGGAUGACGGCCUUCGGGUUGUAAACCGCUUUCGCCUGUGACGAAGCGUGAGUGACGGUAAUGGGUAAAGAAGCACCGGCUAACUACGUG
rnacentral:rRNA from 1 species